AUAUGGGGUGAAAGCAUGGGGUUAAAAUGAAAAUAUCAGGGUAAAAUAGGGGGUUAAAAUGGGGUUAAAAAUAAAAUAUGGGGUUAAAAUAAGGGGUUAAAAUAAAGGGGGUUAAAGUUAAAAUAUGGGGUUAAAAUGGGGUUAAAAAUAAAACAUGGGGUUAAAGUUGAAAUACAGGGUUAAAAGAUGGGGUUAAAAUAGGGGGUUAAAGUUAAAAUAUGGGGUUAAAGUUUUGAGGUUAAAAUGGGGUUGAAGCAUGGGGUUAAAGUUAAAAUAUGAAGUUAAAAGAUAAGGGUAAAAUACGGGGUUAAAAUUAAAAUAUGACGUUAAAGCAUGGGGUUAAAAUUAAAAUAUGGGGUUGAAGGUAAAAUAUGGGGUUAAAGCAUGGGGUUAAAGUUAAAAUAGGGGUUUAAAACAUGGGAUUAAAGCAUAGAGUUAAAGUUAAAAGAUGGGGUUAAA